rnacentral:rRNA from 1 species
GAUUAAGUUAUUAAGGGCGCACGGUGGAUGCCUUGGCACUAGAAGCCGAUGAAGGACGUUACUAACGACGAUAUGCUUUGGGGAGCUGUAAGUAAGCUUUGAUCCAGAGAUUUCCGAAUGGGGAAACCCAGCAUGAGUUAUGUCAUGUUAUCGAUAUGUGAAUACAUAGCAUAUCAGAAGGCACACCCGGAGAACUGAAACAUCUUAGUACCCGGAGGAAGAGAAAGAAAAUUCGAUUCCCUUAGUAGCGGCGAGCGAAACGGGAAGAGCCCAAACCAACAAGCUUGCUUGUUGGGGUUGUAGGACACUCUAUACGGAGUUACAAAGGACGACAUUAGACGAAUCAUCUGGAAAGAUGAAUCAAAGAAGGUAAUAAUCCUGUAGUCGAAAAUGUUGUCUCUCUUGAGUGGAUCCUGAGUACGACGGAGCACGUGAAAUUCCGUCGGAAUCUGGGAGGACCAUCUCCUAAGGCUAAAUACUCUCUAGUGACCGAUAGUGAACCAGUACCGUGAGGGAAAGGUGAAAAGCACCCCGGAAGGGGAGUGAAAUAGAACCUGAAACCGUGUGCUUACAAGUAGUCAGAGCCCGUUAAUGGGUGAUGGCGUGCCUUUUGUAGAAUGAACCGGCGAGUUACGAUUUGAUGCAAGGUUAAGCAGUAAAUGUGGAGCCGUAGCGAAAGCGAGUCUGAAUAGGGCGUUUAGUAUUUGGUCGUAGACCCGAAACCAGGUGAUCUACCCUUGGUCAGGUUGAAGUUCAGGUAACACUGAAUGGAGGACCGAACCGACUUACGUUGAAAAGUGAGCGGAUGAACUGAGGGUAGCGGAGAAAUUCCAAUCGAACCUGGAGAUAGCUGGUUCUCUCCGAAAUAGCUUUAGGGUUAGCCUCAAGUGAUGAUUAUUGGAGGUAGAGCACUGUUUGGAUGAGGGGCCCCUCUCGGGUUACCGAAUUCAGACAAACUCCGAAUGCCAAUUAAUUUAACUUGGGAGUCAGAACAUGGGUGAUAAGGUCCGUGUUCGAAAGGGAAACAGCCCAGACCACCAGCUAAGGUCCCAAAAUAUAUGUUAAGUGGAAAAGGAUGUGGCGUUGCCCAGACAACUAGGAUGUUGGCUUAGAAGCAGCCAUCAUUUAAAGAGUGCGUAAUAGCUCACUAGUCGAGUGACACUGCGCCGAAAAUGUACCGGGGCUAAACAUAUUACCGAAGCUGUGGAUUGUCCUUUGGACAAUGGUAGGAGAGCGUUCUAAGGGCGUUGAAGCAUGAUCGUAAGGACAUGUGGAGCGCUUAGAAGUGAGAAUGCCGGUGUGAGUAGCGAAAGACGGGUGAGAAUCCCGUCCACCGAUUGACUAAGGCUUCCAGAGGAAGGCUCGUCCGCUCUGGGUUAGUCGGGUCCUAAGCUGAGGCCGACAGGCGUAGGCGAUGGAUAACAGGUUGAUAUUCCUGUACCACCUAUAAUCGUUUUAAUCGAUGGGGGGACGCAGUAGGAUAGGCGAAGCGUGCGAUUGGAUUGCACGUCUAAGCAGUAAGGCUGAGUAUUAGGCAAAUCCGGUACUCGUUAAGGCUGAGCUGUGAUGGGGAGAAGACAUUGUGUCUUCGAGUCGUUGAUUUCACACUGCCGAGAAAAGCCUCUAGAUAGAAAAUAGGUGCCCGUACCGCAAACCGACACAGGUAGUCAAGAUGAGAAUUCUAAGGUGAGCGAGCGAACUCUCGUUAAGGAACUCGGCAAAAUGACCCCGUAACUUCGGGAGAAGGGGUGCUCUUUAGGGUUAACGCCCAGAAGAGCCGCAGUGAAUAGGCCCAAGCGACUGUUUAUCAAAAACACAGGUCUCUGCUAAACCGUAAGGUGAUGUAUAGGGGCUGACGCCUGCCCGGUGCUGGAAGGUUAAGAGGAGUGGUUAGCUUCUGCGAAGCUACGAAUCGAAGCCCCAGUAAACGGCGGCCGUAACUAUAACGGUCCUAAGGUAGCGAAAUUCCUUGUCGGGUAAGUUCCGACCCGCACGAAAGGCGUAACGAUUUGGGCACUGUCUCAACGAGAGACUCGGUGAAAUCAUAGUACCUGUGAAGAUGCAGGUUACCCGCGACAGGACGGAAAGACCCCGUGGAGCUUUACUGUAGCCUGAUAUUGAAAUUCGGCACAGCUUGUACAGGAUAGGUAGGAGCCUUUGAAACGUGAGCGCUAGCUUACGUGGAGGCGCUGGUGGGAUACUACCCUAGCUGUGUUGGCUUUCUAACCCGCACCACUUAUCGUGGUGGGAGACAGUGUCAGGCGGGCAGUUUGACUGGGGCGGUCGCCUCCUAAAAGGUAACGGAGGCGCUCAAAGGUUCCCUCAGAAUGGUUGGAAAUCAUUCAUAGAGUGUAAAGGCAUAAGGGAGCUUGACUGCGAGACCUACAAGUCGAGCAGGGUCGAAAGACGGACUUAGUGAUCCGGUGGUUCCGCAUGGAAGGGCCAUCGCUCAACGGAUAAAAGCUACCCCGGGGAUAACAGGCUUAUCUCCCCCAAGAGUUCACAUCGACGGGGAGGUUUGGCACCUCGAUGUCGGCUCAUCGCAUCCUGGGGCUGUAGUCGGUCCCAAGGGUUGGGCUGUUCGCCCAUUAAAGCGGUACGCGAGCUGGGUUCAGAACGUCGUGAGACAGUUCGGUCCCUAUCCGUCGUGGGCGUAGGAAAUUUGAGAGGAGCUGUCCUUAGUACGAGAGGACCGGGAUGGACAUACCUCUGGUGUACCAGUUGUCGUGCCAACGGCAUAGCUGGGUAGCUAUGUGUGGACGGGAUAAGUGCUGAAAGCAUCUAAGCAUGAAGCCCCCCUCAAGAUGAGAUUUCCCAACUUCGGUUAUAAGAUCCCUCAAAGAUGAUGAGGUUAAUAGGUUCGAGGUGGAAGCAUGGUGACAUGUGGAGCUGACGAAUACUAAUCGAUCGAAGACUUAAUCAA